UGAGGAAUAUUGGUCAAUGGUCGGGAGACUGAACCAGCCAAGCCGCGUGAGGGAUGAAGGUACAGAGUAUCGUAAACCUCUUUUGUCAGGGAACAAAAGGCGCCACGCGUGGCGCUCCGAGUGUACCUGAAGAAAAAGCAUCGGCUAACUCCGUGCCAGCAGCCGCGGUAAUACGGAGGAGUGCGAGCGUUAUCCGGAUUUAUUGGGUUUAAAGGGUGCGUAGGCGGCGAGUUAAGUCAGCGGUAAAAGCCCGGGGCUCAACCCCGGCCCGCCGUUGAAACUGGCUUGCUUGAGUUGGAGAGAAGUAGGCGGAAUGCGCGGUGUAGCGGUGAAAUGCUUAGAUAUCGCGCAGAACUCCGAUUGCGAAGGCAGCCUACCGGCUCCAGACUGACGCUGAGGCACGAAAGCGUGGGUAUCGAACAGGAUUAGAUACC
rnacentral:rRNA from 1 species